ACAGGGUUUACUUGAAUUUUUUUUAUUUAAAUUUCAACAAUAUUACUAGUAAUGUGAUGAUAAGUGUUGUUUUAAUUUUCAGCUUGUUGUGAUACACUGUGAUACAAGUUCUUAAUUGUUCCAGUCAUGAUCAGGCUUUUUGUGACCUUUGGAGUUGGUGUAUAUGCAGGAAUCUACAUCACACAGAACUAUGAAGUACCCAGAGUGGAUGAGCCUUCCAAGCUCUGGGAGAAGGUUAAAGACUGGGCUGAGUCUCAUAAGAAAAAAGACUAACAUCAACUCAUAUCUAAGGACAUGCAUAGGAAUCCAUGAUCAUAAAUUCUGUGUGGAAAGCAGUAAAACUAUUGUAGGAUUAUCAGAACAUUUAUUUUUAAAAGAUGUAAAUGCCAUGGAAUGAGUAACUUACUUUUUCCUCUUUAUGUUAUGUUUUUGUUUGCCUUGUCUUUUAUUAAAUAUGAAAAGAUAAAUAUGUUUUUUUGAGUUUGAAUGCUGCCUUUAGUAAGCAGAAAUUAACUAAAGUAGUUGGAAUUGACAAUGUAUAAAACUUUGUGAGCUGUAUAAGUGAAAGACUGUGAUAAGGAAUAUUGAUGUUUUAGAAUUCACUAAUAAAUCUAUAAUGUAU